rnacentral:lncRNA from 1 species
AUAAAUAUUAUAAUGAUAGCUAUAAGAAUCAAUUAUUUAUAAUAAUAAGUUAAUGAUUUAUUAGGAUGGUGUCACUCAAACAGAAACCUGAUCAAAGUAGUGACACCAAUUUUUAAAUAUAAGUAAUAAUAAGAACAAACACAUACAUUACAACACAUAAAAUGUAAACACAUAGAUUGACGCACAUAGAACAUAUAUUAAAAAUAAACAUCCAAUAAUCAAUAAUUGUAGGUUAUAAUAAUAAAAAAAAAAAAUAAACAACUAAAAAAGUACUUAUGAUAAUUGUAGUAAUAACGAAAAGAAAUAUAAGAUAAUAUUUUAUUAAAAAUAAGAUAAUAUAAAAUAUAGUAUCAUAAUGCCUAAAAGUUAGAAUAAAAUAUUUUUCAAAAUUUUUUUAAAUUGAUUUUUUUUAAUAUUAAGAAAAGGUAUUUUGAGAUGUAGUUUUUUAAACUCAUUCAAAACGCAUACAAGGCUCCUGUUCCAUUCACAGACGCACUGAUAUAUUAUAGAAUACUUACCAUAUUUCUUUUUAUAAGAUUUUAUAAGAUGGUACAUUUAGUUUUCCAUUGUAUAUAUUUCUAGUAGAGUAGGAAUGCACUAGUCUACUUUCUGUGAACAAAUUUGUAAUGGAAGAUGGUAAACUUUUAUUUAUGAAGUCAAAAACAAAAAGAAGAUUAGCAUACUUUACUAAAGCUGGAAAUGUUAGAAUGUUAAUUUUUUUCAAGGAUUCCGAUGUAUCUGAUUUAAAUGGCUGGAAGUUUAUUAUUCUAAUAGAUUGACGCUGAGACGAUAGCAACUUGUUAAUGCGAUAAUUUCCGAUUUGACACCAAACCUGACGACUAUAACUAAGAUGAGAUGAGAAUAAUGCAUAGUAAGUAUUCUUAAGUGUAACUUUAUCAACAUAAUGACGAAUUAUUGAUAGCAUACCGUUAGCUCGAGAUAAUUUCUUGCAUAGCUCAUCAAUGUGAAAACCCCAUGAAAGAUUACAGUCAAUUAACACACCAAGAUAUUUAGUAACUUCCGAAGUAUAUAGCCGUUUAUUAUUAAUUUUGAUUUUAACUUCAACAUUUUUAUAGAUUUAAAAAAAAAUUAGUUCUGUUUUUUUGGUGUUAAGACAUUUAACCAGUGAACUAUACCUUUUAGAUCCGAAUUUACAUUUUUACAUAAAGAUUGAUGCGAUUUGUUAAUAUGCAAGAGGUUCGUAUCAUCAGCAAACAGAUGAACUGACGAGAAGUGAACAGAGUUGAUUAGGUCGUUAACGUAGAUUAAAAACAAAGAGGACCAAGAACAGAACCUUGAGGUACACCACACAAAACAGAUUUAUUACUAGAAUUAAAACCAUUAAUACUUACAAACUGUUUUCGAUUUAAAAGAUAAGAUCGAAACAAGUCAUUUACAAUACCGCGAAUUCCAUAAUGUCCUAAUUUAGAUAUCAAAAUACUAUGGUCAAAGGUAUCGAAUACUUUUUGCAAAUCAAUAAAAACACCACAAACGAAAUGACCAGUAUCAAGAGCUUUUCUAAUUUUUUUUGUAAUACUUAUUAAUGCGUGGCAAGUAGAAUGUUUUGAUCAAAAACCGAAUUGAAAAUCAUAUAAACAAUUAAAUGAGUUUAGAAAAGAAUACACUAUAGAAUACAUAAGUUUUUCAAGAAGUUUACUAAUAUUAGAUAAAAGAGAAAUAGGUCUAUAGUUAGAGCAUAGAAGUUUAGAGCCAUUUUUAAAUAUUGGAAUAACGCAAGAAUGAAAAACGCAAAAAUAACAUGAAUUGUUGCACACUGUCCAUAAUGUUGUAGUUUACACUCGAAGCAUGGAAAACAACUUUGAAGGUUUGUGUUUUUCAAGUUACAUUAUUCAUAGGGUAAAAGAGUUUAUGCUGUCAUGAAAAAAUAUUAUAAAUAGUCAAUAAUUAAUUACAUUAUUAUAAUAAUAUAAUCAGGGAGCAGUAUUUUUAGUUUAUAAAAUAUAUAUUUAAUUAUUAUCAUCAAUGUUGUGUUAUUAUUAAAUGUUUGGUUGAAAGUUUUUGUUUGAAAUAUUGAUGCGUAUUUGAUGUUCAGAGCAUAUUUUAUGAUUUUUCACCUAAUAAAAUAAUAUUUUUGCCCCAUUUAUGAUUUUUAUUGAUAAUAUUUGCUAAUAUAUGUCUUUAUCAAUUAUUUAGAGAAAGAAAUUUAGAAAACUUGAGAAUUAUAUGUUAAUAUCUUUAUUAAAUGUUUUUUCAAAGAUGUAAUGAAGAAAAAUCACAAGAUUUUUUUUGAGACAAAAAAUAGUCCAUACACAGGAGUUCCUUUCCUUAUAUCAUCGUGCAGUGUUCUUGACUGUCAACAUGGAGUAGACAAAGGCUGCACAGCAAAACUCAAUACAGAAACAGAAAAAACAGUGAAGCUGUAUGUGUUACCUGAUUUUAAUUCAAAUUAUUGUUUUACGUAAUUCUAGUUAUCAUUCAGAGCUUAAAUUUUCCCAUUGAAAAAAGUCCCUAUUUUGCUUUUCACAAAUAUAUUCAAAAAAAAAUUUGAUUGUCCCGCUGCAAUUUCAAUCAAAGAAAUAGUUGAAUUUCCUGAAUUUAAGAUUGAAAAAGAUUCAGCAUGGUUGAGAAGUGUGGCAUCAUAGAAACUUCGUAAAGCUCUGGCCCCUCAAAAUGAUAUUGUAAUGUGUAGAAAAUAUAUUUUAAUACUACAGGACAUUUCUGUUCAUAGAAAUCAUCCAGUUGGUAAUGUAAGUACCACAAUGUUUACAUUGUGAUUACAAUGUGUUUACAAUGAUUACACUGCGUUUUUGUUUUCUUUCUUUAUGACUUAUCAUUAAUGAAAUUGCUGAACUUGUAAAAAAAGGUUAAUUCAGUUCCAGAUAUGAGGCGUCAUCUGGAUGCCUUUGUUCAGAUGAAAUUUGUUUCAAAUAACAUUCUAAAAACAAACAAACGUUUUUAUCCACUGGAUGAAACGAUCGCAAAUCAUAUGGAGAAGGCUAGAAAAAACUUUCAAAGAUCUUUGAUAGAUCAAGAAUGUUUGUUAGGUAAGAUAGAUGAAUGGAAAGUAUACUUUUUAGAAGUAUGUAUAUAUUUUCGACCUAAAGUGGAAAAAUCUGAGUUAUCCUGCUCUCAAAGAUUCUUUGUUAUUUGUGUAUCAAGAUGUAUGGCAAAAGAGACUGCUAUUAAAAUAUGGAAAUGAGCUUACCUUUCUGGAUGCUACAUAUCGCACAACUAGAUAUGCUCUGCUUCUCUGUUGAAUACCAAGUCGUUGCCAUUUUUUUGUGUAAAAAUGAAACAACAGAAGCUCUAAUUUGUAUUAAAAAAUGGAAUCCUUUAUUCCGGCCUUAGUGUUUUUUGACUAAUUAUUGUAAUGAAGAAUUUAAUUUUUUUGAACCUGUUUUCCCAGGUUUGGGAGAGAUGGUUGUCAAAAAUAGCCAAUGGAUGUUGCCAAAACUGAACCCAAAACAACUUAAAAUUGAGAGAAUAUCUUAAAAACACUUGGUUGUGUAUCCUAAAGUUUAGUAACAGUAGUAUUCAUCAGAUUGUUAACAUCCAUAGUAUGCCUAAUGUAUCCAAAUAGGAGAUGGGUGCUUGCUUACAGACGAGAUUAACUGCUGAUAAAUGUCAACACUAACAAUGGCACUGAACCGCAAAACCAAACGUUUGAGUACAGUUUUUUGGAGAAAAGGAAAAGUUCUUCACUUACAUCAAUGCUUAGCAUUUGUAUAGAAGAACUUCUUCUGCAUAAAUAUGACAACUAUGCCGAUGAAAAUAGAAGGGCACAUACAUAGUAUAGAAAAUACAAUGUUAACAUUCCGGCUUAUUUAAUUAAUCGACCACCACCUCUUGUAAAACAUUGUAUGAGAAUGAUCGAUAUAUGUCCAAGUGUAGGGUUGGUUGGAAUUAGUUCUGUAACAGCAGGAUUGUAUAAUGUAGCUUCGUUUCAAUCUAAUAAUCGACACAUUUACCAAUGUUAUUUUGGUGAUGCUGAACAACUACCAACUUCUUCUUGUCCAGCUUGGUUUGAAAGUGCAUAUCCAUGCAAGCAUUUUUUUGUCAUUUUUAUUAAAGAAAAUCUCUCCUGGUCAUCUUUUGGUUCCUCUUAUCGAAUUUCCCCAUAUUUUAUUUUUGAUCCAUUGUCGGAUGAAUAUUAUUCUUCAAAUUUGGCUUCCUCUCUAGAUUUAGUGUAUUCCAACAAUAAUUUGUCUCAAAAUAAUCAUUUUAACAGUGCUAAAUCGUUUUGUGUUGGAUCUUCACGGGAUGAAUAUGAUCAGACAAAUGCUGAGUUUUGUGGAUAAUACAAAUUGUCUUGGUUACAAUAACCUAAAUAGUCAAGCACUGUCUAUUCAGCACACACCUGCAGCGUGUCGUGAAGUCUUGAAUGAACUAAUAAAAAUAACUUAUUUAGGCAGUUCUCAAACAGCAACAACUAAUUUGUUCGAAGGGCUUUGUAAACUUUAAAAUAGUUUUGAGGAAACUUAAUUGAGAGAACAAGGUAUUCUUCUGCGUCAAGAAUGUAAACCAGGUAUUUGGAGCAAGUCUCUUAUAAAUUCACCAAAACUUUGUCAGCUGCCAGUUCGACGCAAAAGGAAAAUGGCGAAACGAGUUGGUAUUAAAUAUGGCAUGGCUAAAAGAGCUUCAAACAUAAAUUUUGUAGUAAAAGUAAAAGAUGAAGUUUCUUUUUCUGAGGUUGUUACAAACCACGUGAUUGAUGAAAAUUGUGAAAUGUUUACAGUGCCCAAUGCAACAAUCGAAUAUGAAAAAAAAAAUCAGGUGAUUGCCAGAAGGUUUUUGAAUCUACUGAUGUUAGUGAAGAUGUCUAAUUGCAAAGCACUGUUCAACGUAUUUAGUUUCUGAAGUCCUCUUUAAUUAGAAAUUCAGAACAAAAUCAUACUGAAAACGGACAAAUGCUUAAUGAAAAUGUAAUUCACUUGUGUCAACAAAUGAUGUCAAUUGGAUUAAAAAUUAAUGAAGGUCUACAGGAUCCAGUUAAAGGAAAAGUAUUAUCUUUUAAUGUUCAUUCAAGUACUCCAUUCGUCCAAAUCCUUUAUGAUGGCAAUGCUAUACUUGUGCAGAAUGGUUUCACCGUGAAUGUGAAAGAAUUCCACAGAGUGUUAUGAAAUAGAAGAACUUUGGAAUUGUCACAAAUGCAACAGUAAACUAGGUUUUUAAGGCUUAGUAAAUAUAGAAAGAUAGCUUCAGGUAUUACAUUUUUUUAAAUAUAUUUAUCAAGUAUUUUAAAGGACUUCUGUGCAGACAAAGUUGUUACUGGUAAAAUUUUGAUUUUCUAUAAAUAUAUAUCUAUAACUUUAUUAAAUAAAGAACAAAUUUAAUGAAUGUUAUCUUUUUAUUUUCAUAUGUCAUCUCAGAUUCGAAAUUCAAAAACAAAUUAUGUAAUAAAACAAAAAAUAUUACUUAAUAACAAUUCUUGGAUCACGGCUUUAUUUUAUAGUGCUUAUGCCUUGUUAUUAAUUGGUAUAGAUGUUUAUACCUUUCUGAUGAUAGUAUAUAUGUUUGUUUAUUGGAAUUUUAUUAUAUAAAUAUUUGUGACACUGAUAUAAACUGCCCCAUUUGUUUGGUUUGUGUCAUAGUGUUGUAAAAAUUGUGUUGACAUAAAUAGCUUAUACUGUGGUGAUAAUGGCAUCUUAAAAACUAUAUAUAUAGCCUUUGUGUAGUAUGAGCCUUAGCGGUUAUAUAAUUCAAAUGUAUAUAUAAUGCUGACGCCUAAUAUUUCAUGAAUAUAUGUAUGUAUGUAAACAUUUUAAUUCGUCUUGGUAACACAUGCAUUAGAUCUAUAUAGGUAUAAGGUAUACCUAAAAAUAGAGCGAUCAGAUGCUCUCAAUAUUAAAAUUUAAUGAGUGAACCAUUUAAAUUGCUUCAAAUGGUGUUGAUAUUACAUAGCAUUUUGUUGAGAAAUCAUUGUUAAUUUUUUUUAGGGAGGUGAGCAGUUGCUGGCUACUUUCACGUUAGUGCUCACUGUUAAAAACGGUAUCAAUACCGAAUUUCAAAUCAUGAAAUUUGCCUUUUAAAUCAUGAACUAAAUGCCAAGACGAGUCAAUAAAUAAACUUGGUAACACGAGAUUUAUAGAGAUAUUUUUUUAAUCUUAAGUGUUAUUAAUAAUUUUGCUUUUUGAAUGAGAUUUUGCUUUUUAUUAAAGAUAUUGGUUUCAAAAUUGAACACAAUUGCCAAAAUACUCACAAAAUUAAGUAGUUUUUAAAAAUCUGUUUUCUAUUUUGUUCUU